rnacentral:rRNA from 1 species
GACGAACGCUGGCGGCGUGCUUAACACAUGCAAGUCGAGCGGUAAGGCCCUUUCGGGGUACACGAGCGGCGAACGGGUGAGUAACACGUGGGUGACCUGCCCUCAGCUCUGGGAUAAGCCUGGGAAACUGGGUCUAAUACCGGAUAUGACUCCAUGACGCAUGUUGUGGGGUGGAAAGCCUUGUGCGGCUGAGGAUGGGCCCGCGGCCUAUCAGCUUGUUGGGGGGUGAUGGCCUACCAAGGCGACGACGGGUAGCCGGCCUGAGAGGGCGGACCGGCCACACUGGGACUGAGACACGGCCCAGACUCCUACGGGAGGCAGCAGUGGGGAAUCUUGCGCAAUGGGCGAAAGCCUGACGCAGCGACGCCGCGUGAGGGAUGACGG